CAGUAGCCGCGGUAAUACCGAGGGUGCGAGCGUUAAUCGGAUUUACUGGGCGUAAAGCGUGCGUAGGCGGCUUCUUAAGUCGGAUGUGAAAUCCCUGAGCUUAACUUAGGAAUUGCAUUCGAUACUGGGAAGCUAGAGUAUGGGAGAGGAUGGUAGAAUUCCAGGUGUAGCGGUGAAAUGCGUAGAGAUCUGGAGGAAUACCGAUGGCGAAGGCAGCCAUCUGGCCUAAUACUGACGCUGAGGUACGAAAGCAUGGGGAGCAAACAGGAUUAGAUACCCGGGUAGUCCCUGUCUCUUAUCA
rnacentral:rRNA from 1 species